rnacentral:rRNA from 1 species
GUGGGGAAUAUUGGACAAUGGGCGAAAGCCUGAUCCAGCCAUGCCGCGUGUGUGAAGAAGGUCUUCGGAUUGUAAAGCACUUUAAGUUGGGAGGAAGGGCAGUAAGUUAAUACCUUGCUGUUUUGACGUUACCGACAGAAUAAGCACCGGCUAACUUCGUGCCAGCAGCCGCGGUAAUACGAAGGGUGCAAGCGUUAAUCGGAAUUACUGGGCGUAACGCGCGCGUAGGUGGUUUUGUAAGUUGGAGGUGAAUUCCCCGGGCUCAACCUGGGAACUGCCUCCAAAACUGCAUGACUAGAGUACGGUAGAGGGUAGUGGAAUUUCCUGUGUAGCGGUGAAAUGCGUAGAUAUAGGAAGGAACACCAGUGGCGAAGGCGACUACCUGGACUGAUACUGACACUGAGGUGCGAAAGCGUGGGGAGCAAACAGGAUUAGAUACCCGAGUAGUCC